rnacentral:rRNA from 1 species
AACGAACGCUGGCGGCGUGCCUAAUACAUGCAAGUCGAACGUGAAAGUCCUUCGGGAUGAGUAAAGUGGCGCACGGGUGAGUAACACGUAGGUGAUCUACCUAGAAGAUCUGGAUAACCCGGAGAAAUUCGGGCUAAUACGGAGUAAGUUCACAUAAUUGAAAAGUUGUGAAGAGAGAUGGCCUCUACUUGUAAGCUAUCGCUUUUAGAGGAGCCUGCGUAGCAUUAGCUAGUUGGUGGGGUAAUGGCCUACCAAGGCGACGAUGCUUAGCUGGUCUGAGAGGAUGAUCAGCCACACUGGAACUGAGACACGGUCCAGUCUCCUACGGGAGGCAGCAGUAGGGAAUAUUGCGCAAUGGGGGAAACCCUGACGCAGCAACGCCGCGUGAGUGAGGAAGGCCUUAGGGUUGUAAAGCUCUGUCAGUAGGGAAAAAUGGCCAGCGGGCGAAUAGGUCGUUGGAUUGAUGGUACCUACAAAGGAAGCACCGGCAAACUUCGUGCCAGCCGCCGCAGUAA